ACCAACGUAGCUCAAUGGAAGAGCGCCAGGUUCAUAGCCUGGAGGUUGGAGGUUCGAAUCCUCCCGUUGGUU
rfam:Candidatus Woesebacteria bacterium RIFCSPHIGHO2_12_FTLL_42_9 rifcsphigho2_12_scaffold_1909, whole genome shotgun sequence.